rnacentral:rRNA from 1 species
GGGUUGUGAGGUUAAGCGACUAAGCGUACACGGUGGAUGCCCUGGCAGUCAGAGGCGAUGAAGGACGUGCUAAUCUGCGAUAAGCGUCGGUAAGGUGAUAUGAACCGUUAUAACCGGCGAUUUCCGAAUGGGGAAACCCAGUGUGUUCCGACACACUAUCAUUACGUGAAUACAUAGCGUAAUGAAGCGAACCGGGGGAACUGAAACAUCUAAGUACCCCGAGGAAAAGAAAUCAACCGAGAUUCCCCCAGUAGCGGCGAGCGAACGGGGAGCAGCCCAGAGUCUGAAUCAGCUUGUGUGUUAGUGGAACGGUCUGGAAAGUCCGACGGUACAGGGUGAUAGUCCCGUACACCAAAAUGCACAGGUUGUGAACUCGAAGAGUAGGGCGGGACACGUGGUAUCCUGUCUGAAUAUGGGGGGACCAUCCUCCAAGGCUAAAUACUCCUGACUGACCGAUAGUGAACCAGUACCGUGAGGGAAAGGCGAAAAGAACCCCGGCGAGGGGAGUGAAAAAGAACCUGAAACCGUGUACGUACAAGCAGUGGGAGCCUCUUUAUGGGGUGACUGCGUACCUUUUGUAUAAUGGGUCAGCGACUUAUAUUCUGUAGCAAGGUUAACCGUAUAGGGGAGCCGAAGGGAAACCGAGUCUUAACUGGGCGUUAAGUUGCAGGGUAUAGACCCGAAACCCGGUGAUCUAGCCAUGGGCAGGUUGAAGGUUGGGUAACACUAACUGGAGGACCGAACCGACUAAUGUUGAAAAAUUAGCGGAUGACUUGUGGCUGGGGGUGAAAGGCCAAUCAAACCGGGAGAUAGCUGGUUCUCCCCGAAAGCUAUUUAGGUAGCGCCUCGUGAACUCAUCUUCGGGGGUAGAGCACUGUUUCGGCUAGGGGGUCAUCCCGACUUACCAACCCGAUGCAAACUGCGAAUACCGAAGAAUGUUAUCACGGGAGACACACGGCGGGUGCUAACGUCCGUCGUGAAGAGGGAAACAACCCAGACCGCCAGCUAAGGUCCCAAAGUCAUGGUUAAGUGGGAAACGAUGUGGGAAGGCACAGACAGCCAGGAUGUUGGCUUAGAAGCAGCCAUCAUUUAAAGAAAGCGUAAUAGCUCACUGGUCGAGUCGGCCUGCGCGGAAGAUGUAACGGGGCUAAACCAUGCACCGAAGCUGCGGCAGCGACACUAUGUGUUGUUGGGUAGGGGAGCGUUCUGUAAGCCGUUGAAGGUGUAUCGUGAGGUAUGCUGGAGGUAUCAGAAGUGCGAAUGCUGACAUAAGUAACGAUAAUGCGGGUGAAAAACCCGCACGCCGGAAGACCAAGGGUUCCUGUCCAACGUUAAUCGGGGCAGGGUGAGUCGACCCCUAAGGCGAGGCCGAAAGGCGUAGUCGAUGGGAAACAGGUUAAUAUUCCUGUACUUGGUGUUACUGCGAAGGGGGGACGGAGAAGGCUAUGUUAGCCGGGCGACGGUUGUCCCGGUUUAAGCAUGUAGGCGGAGGUUCCAGGUAAAUCCGGUACCUUUUAACGCUGAGGUGUGAUGACGAGGCACUACGGUGCUGAAGUAACAAAUGCCCUGCUUCCAGGAAAAGCCUCUAAGCAUCAGGUAACACGAAAUCGUACCCCAAACCGACACAGGUGGUCAGGUAGAGAAUACCAAGGCGCUUGAGAGAACUCGGGUGAAGGAACUAGGCAAAAUGGUGCCGUAACUUCGGGAGAAGGCACGCUGAUAUGUAGGUGAAGCGGUUUACCCGUGGAGCUGAAAUCAGUCGAAGAUACCAGCUGGCUGCAACUGUUUAUUAAAAACACAGCACUGUGCAAACACGAAAGUGGACGUAUACGGUGUGACGCCUGCCCGGUGCCGGAAGGUUAAUUGAUGGGGUUAUCCGUAAGGAGAAGCUCUUGAUCGAAGCCCCGGUAAACGGCGGCCGUAACUAUAACGGUCCUAAGGUAGCGAAAUUCCUUGUCGGGUAAGUUCCGACCUGCACGAAUGGCGUAAUGAUGGCCAGGCUGUCUCCACCCGAGACUCAGUGAAAUUGAACUCGCUGUGAAGAUGCAGUGUACCCGCGGCAAGACGGAAAGACCCCGUGAACCUUUACUAUAGCUUGACACUGAACACUGGUCCUUGAUGUGUAGGAUAGGUGGGAGGCUUUGAAGUGUGGACGCCAGUCUGCAUGGAGCCAUCCUUGAAAUACCACCCUUUAAUGGCUGGUGUUCUAACGUGGACCCGUGAUCCGGGUUGCGGACAGUGUCUGGUGGGUAGUUUGACUGGGGCGGUCUCCUCCUAAAGAGUAACGGAGGAGCACGAAGGUUAGCUAAUCCUGGUCGGACAUCAGGAGGUUAGUGCAAAGGCAUAAGCUAGCUUGACUGCGAGAGUGACGGCUCGAGCAGGUGCGAAAGCAGGUCUUAGUGAUCCGGUGGUUCUGAAUGGAAGGGCCAUCGCUCAACGGAUAAAAGGUACUCCGGGGAUAACAGGCUGAUACCGCCCAAGAGUUCAUAUCGACGGCGGUGUUUGGCACCUCGAUGUCGGCUCAUCACAUCCUGGGGCUGAAGUAGGUCCCAAGGGUAUGGCUGUUCGCCAUUUAAAGUGGUACGCGAGCUGGGUUUAGAACGUCGUGAGACAGUUCGGUCCCUAUCUGCCGUGGGCGCUGGAGAAUUGAGGGGGGCUGCUCCUAGUACGAGAGGACCGGAGUGGACGCAUCACUGGUGUUCGGGUUGUCAUGCCAAUGGCAUUGCCCGGUAGCUAAAUGCGGAAGAGAUAAGUGCUGAAAGCAUCUAAGCACGAAACUUGCCCCGAGAUGAGUUCUCCCUGAGACUAUAAGUCUCCUGAAGGAACGUUAAAGACGAUGACGUUGAUAGGUCGGGUGUGUAAGUGUAGCGAUACAUUGAGCUAACCGAUACUAAUGAACCGUGAGGCUUAACCUUACAACGCCGAAG